GACGAACGCUGGCGGCGUGCCUAACACAUGCAAGUCGAACGGGGUUAUUUCUUCGGAGAUAACUUAGUGGCGAACGGGUGAGUAACGCGUGAGAAACCUGCCUUUCAGUGGGGGACAACAGUUGGAAACGACUGCUAAUACCGCAUAAUGUCAUUUGGGGGCAUCCCUGAAUGACCAAAGAUUUAUUGCUGAAAGAUGGUCUCGCGUCUGAUUAGCUAGAUGGCGGGGUAACGGCCCACCAUGGCGACGAUCAGUAGCCGGCCUGAGAGGAUGAACGGCCACAUUGGGACUGAGAUACGGCCCAGACUCCUACGGGAGGCAGCAGUGGGGAAUAUUGGGCAAUGGGGGAAACCCUGACCCAGCAACGCCGCGUGAAGGAAGAAGGCCUUCGGGUUGUAAACUUCUUUUACCAGGGACGAACAAAUGACGGUACCUGGAGAAAAAGCAACGGCUAACUACGUGCCAGCAGCCGCCGUAACAC
rnacentral:rRNA from 1 species